rnacentral:lncRNA from 1 species
GACUCAUCAGCGAAUUUUCAAGGCAAUUUGAGUUCACUUUUUGUGAAAGAGUCUUCAGGAAAAUAUUCUGUCAAGGGCUUUGGGACAAUCAAGAUAAAUGACACUUCUACAUUUCACUCAUACUAAUCACUCUUUCAUGAAUCUGCCCAAAAGAAUGCAUUUCUCUGUGCUAAGCUGCUCUGUAUACAGUCCUAAUGGUGCUACCUUCUGAGUCCUCUCUGCUUCAUGCAUUAUCACUUCAUGCUCUAUCCUGUUCCUUCCUUUCCACCUGAAAUUCUAUUCUCGGAACAGUUCUGCUUGGGAUUUUGGAUACUAGAGAUUAAAAUUUUGAAAGAAUGAAAUAACUGAUUUUUCAUGCAGUCUUCCUCACUGUCAUCUCCUAGACAUUGAUAUUUUUCUAUUUCUUCACUUAAAACUUAGAUCAUCUGUAUAGAUACAUACAUAUCCUCUCCAGUGAAAUUGGCUUCUUCAAAGCCAGUUUUCACAACUAUAAGCAGAAGAGUUGGAUCCCAUGCCCACCAAAGUCCUUUCAAAUUCUCUGGCACUUUUGUU